rnacentral:rRNA from 1 species
GGGUUUAAAGGGUCCGUAGGCGGGAAAUUAAGUCAGUGGUGAAAGCCUAUCGCUCAACGAUAGAACUGCCAUUGAUACUGAUUUUCUUGAGUGUAGAUGAAGUGGGCGGAAUGUGUCAUGUAGCGGUGAAAUGCAUAGAUAUGACACAGAACACCGAUUGCGAAGGCAGCUCACUAAACUAUUACUGACGCUGAGGGACGAAAGCGUGGGGAGCGAAC